rnacentral:lncRNA from 1 species
UCAAAGCCAAGUCUGAAUGAGUGGUCCCAUCUGACCCAAGCCACAGUUUCAGAAGCACAGCCUUGGAGGAGUAAGGACGGUGAGGAAACAGAUGCCUAGACAUCCAUAUUGACCAAAACCUGCACUGGCAACCCACGGAGGGCUACAUAUCAAAGACAGGUCUUAUCACAUCUUCAUUGCCAAGAAAAGAGAAAAUGAUCUUAAAAUUAUUUUGUACAAUGAAAAACAAUACCUUUGACAACCAGAUGUUUGAUGAAUACAUUUUGAUAUUACAGCCAAGAGCUGGGCACCUGUUCUUUAAGGAUAGAAGAGCAACCCCUGAACUAAGAUGUAGUACCUGGAGCUAUGCAGCUUUUCUGUGACCAUGAGGUGAUGGAUGAAGAUGCUGGAACUGACAUCAUGGAGCUGUUGAAGACACACCAAUAACAGUCUACAUUUUGACUUGUAUUGUUUUGUGUGGAAAAAACUAUUUUGUUCAAAUAUUGUAGUUGAAUGCUUUGUUACUUGCAGUUAAAUACAUUCCUAACAAGUAAAGGAGGGAUUAUAACUAUAAUCUUACUAUAACUGUCUAUAUAGCUACUAAUUGAAUAUAUUAUAUUUGAGAAAUAAUAAUUGUGGUAAUCUAACUUGUUAACCCAGUUUUCUCCAACAACAAUCUAAAUUGGUUUAAGAUGGGUCACUAAAUAACAUACAAUAUGGUAAAUAAUGAAAUAAGUAAAUGUCAAAUAGGUGAGCACGACAGAGAAUUAUUGAAAAUGUACUGUAUUUUAUUUCAGAAAUAAAAUUUACUCUGAGUUUUCACUGUUCUUUCUCCCCCUUUUAUCAUGGCACCCCAUACAUAUGAAAAAUUAGUUCACACUAAUUAUCUGCAAAUGGGACUCAUCGUCACAGUGAAAUUGUGUCUCUCCUUGAUCCUAAUCCAAAUUUAACUGUAACCUAAAUGAUACCUGACAGAAGUAUGCAGAGGUCACAGAGUCCCUACCUGGUGAGAGACAUUAAUCAAACAAAUGUCAUUUGUACAGUUCAGCAGUUUUAUAUCAGAAAUUUAACUUAAAACCUUACAAAAAAGGAGGAUUAAAUGAAAUACAUACAAUGCAUUUAGAAUAGAAAGGCAAAACUCUGGAGACCAAGGUUGCCAAAUUAUUAUUUUUAAAAUCUGGCUGUAAGAUAUACAGGCCAUUUGGUCUCCUUGGCCUUCUUCACUGACAUUUUUAAUCAGAAAAGUUUCCCCUCACUUGUCACUUUUUCACUCUGAGAUCAUCAUUACUAGCAGGUUAGUCGAUUUUCUAUGAAUUGUUUGAUACUUCUGAGAACACAAAAUCAUUUUGAUAAUUCUGAGAAUGCAAGUCAUUUUGUGGCAUUCAAGUGAAAAUAUCUUGAACUUGUUUUCUUUUUUUUUUUUCCACUUAAGAAAAGAAAGUAAAUAAAUGUGAAGGGUUGCUUUCCAUAGCCAUUCCUGUUUAGAGACUCAUUUGUUGCAUUCUUGCUUUAGUAAUUUUUAUUUUUGUUUAUUUGUUUCCUUUUCCCUUUAAAGGCAUAGAUGAGAAAAAUAAUUGCUGUUUAGAAGUGAAGGGAAAUAAAUUUUAUGGACUCCAAAAGCCUUUCCAGGUGGCUAGACAAAGUGCCUGGACAUGCUCAUAUAAUGUGAGUUCAAAGCAUGAAUUAAAUAUCUACUUUUCUAAAAAAUAAAUUUCAUCUGGGGUGCAUUUUGCUACCCAGAUUGUGAAUAACUUAGUAUAAAGCCACAUUUUCAUUUGCAAGGCCCUUGUUCAUGCUACGUCGUUUGUCGUUCUCUGUUCAAUAAAAGGUAAGCAGACAUUUUCCAAAAUUUUUUUUUUAGAAUAUUUAUUUUUUUCAGGAAACAUGAUGGGUUUUGAUGAAUUAAGGGACAGAAAGAAAAAAAUCCCAUGUUACUAAUUUGUAUAUGACAGCAGGUGGUUUGGUUCAAGUGAACAGUAAGCACACGUAGAAGUCAAAUCAGAAAAGCUUCAUUAUCUGGCUAAGUGAAUUAUCUCCAGGAUCAUACAUUAAAACACAGAAAGGCGCUCCUUUGUUAUCUUUGAUAGCCUCAAAGGAGUGAAAAAUAAGUUUCCUUUUUUAACAUGCUUGACAAAGUCUUAGCGUCCCCAUAGUGAGGUCCUCACAGGUGGUUCACAGAGAAUGAGAUUACAUAAUUAAGACUUUGGGAAGCAGAGGUCACUGCAAACCCACACUGGAUGAAAAACAGAGGCUGGGGUUUGAGCAAAAAGAAAACUGAUUCUUUUCAUUUAACUCAUUAUUAAACCACAAAGAACUUUAUUUUCAGUUUAUAUACACUGUACCCUGUGACAUAAAAUAAGAGUUUGAAGCGAUUUUUAGAAAGUUAAAAAUAUUUUUGCGUGCAUGCACAUGUGUGCACAUCAGUGUAUAUGCAUGCUCACAUGUUUGUCAACGUGGGGAGGACUGUCGCCAUUGUUCACCUGCCCCAGACAACAAUGUUUAUCUAAGUGCUCUGGGUAUUAAAGGAAUAGUUUAAUGAUUGAAGGCAUCUUUAUAUUAGAUAUCUUCCUUGAUUGGCUCUGACAGUUAUAUUUGAAAACUUAUUCAAUAGAUAAGUAGAUUAAAGAUACAUAAGAAUGUCCUAAUUACCCCAACAGCAUUUGAAAAAAAAAAAAAAGUCUUGAAUAUGAUACUGAACCAAAAGUGUUUGACAACUCAUUUUAGCUAUCUUUCAGAUAAAGAAUAAAUUCAAGGAUUCAGUCACUUGUGCUUACAGAGGAACAUAUGGCAUGUUCUGUUGGAGGACGGAGUAACCCUCAAUGUACCAGCCAGAUUUUUAGUUAGUUAUUCCAGCCUCUUCAUCUAAGGCUCCCUGUGGUCUUCACUUCCCAAGUGACGGAGCUGAAUGAAGAGAUGAUUGUGCAUAAAGUGGUUUGUGAUCUUCCUCAGGGAAAGACUUGAUAAAACGUGGGCUCUUCUUAGGAUACAGCAGAUGUGCAGACCACAGCAAAAGCCCUC